rnacentral:tRNA from 1 species
GAGGAUAUAACUCAGUUGGUAGAGUGCUUGCCUUGCAUGCACAAGGCCCUGGGUUCAAUCCCCAGCACUCG